AUUGAACGCUGGCGGCAGGCCUAACACAUGCAAGUCGAACGAUUGGCGGACGGGUGAAUAAUGUCUGGGAAACUGCCCGAUGGAGGGGGAUAACAACUGGAAACGGUAGCUAAUACCGCAUACCAUCGGAUUUGCCCGGAUGGGAUUUGCUAGUGGGGGGGGUAAGGGCUCACAUAGGCGACGAUCCCUAGCUGGUCUGAGAGGAUGACCAGCAAAACGGGAACUGAGACACGGUCCAGACUCCUACGGGAGGCAGCAUAGGGGAAUAUUGGACAAUGGGCGCAAGCCUGAUGAAGCCAGGCCGCGGGUAUGAAGAAGGCGUUCGGGUUGUAAAGUACUUUCAGCGAGGAGGCGUUACUCGCAGAAGAAGCACCGGCUAACUCCGUGCCAGCAGCCGCGGUAAUUC
rnacentral:rRNA from 1 species